GAUGAACGCUAGCGGCAGGCUUAACACAUGCAAGUCGAGGGGUAUAGUAGCAAUACUAGAGACCGGCGCACGGGUGCGUAACGCGUAUGCAAUCUACCUUUUGCAGAGGGAUAGCCCAGAGAAAUUUGGAUUAAUACCUCAUAGUAUAUAUGGAUGGCAUCAUUUAUAUAUUAAAGUCACAACGGCAAAAGAUGAGCAUGCGUCCCAUUAGCUUGUUGGUAAGGUAACGGCUUACCAAGGCAACGAUGGGUAGGGGUCCUGAGAGGGAGAUCCCCCACACUGGUACUGAGACACGGACCAGACUCCUACGGGAGGCAGCAGUGAGGAAUAUUGGACAAUGGGCGCAAGCCUGAUCCAGCCAUGCCGCGUGCAGGAUGACGGUCCUAUGGAUUGUAAACUGCUUUUGCACAGGAAGAAACAACGCUAACGUGUAGCGUCUUGACGGUACUGUGAGAAUAAGGAUCGGCUAACUCGUCG
rnacentral:rRNA from 1 species